GGGCUCGUGGUCUAGCGGUCAUGACGGCGCCCUUACAAGGCGCAGGUCACCGGUUCAAAUCCGGUCGAGCCCA
rnacentral:tRNA from 1 species